rnacentral:rRNA from 1 species
UCCUACGGGAGGCAGCAGUGGGGAAUAUUGGACAAUGGGCGAAAGCCUGAUCCAGCCAUGCCGCGUGUGUGAAGAAGGUCUUCGGAUUGUAAAGCACUUUAAGUUGGGAGGAAGGGCAGUAAGCUAAUACCUUGCUGUUUUGACGUUACCAACAGAAUAAGCACCGGCUAACUUCGUGCCAGCAGCCGCGGUAA